rnacentral:rRNA from 1 species
AUCAUUACGAGUUAGGGUCUCACCGGCCCGAUCUCCCAACCCUUUGUCUACUUGACCAUCGUUGCUUCGGCGAGCCCGUCCCUCGGGACCGCCGGGGGGAUCUUCACCGACCCUCUGGCCCGCGCUCGUCGAUAGCCCCCAAUUUUAAAACCUUAACUAAACGUGUCUUGAAUCUAAGUAUUAUUGUUAAAUAAAAACAAAACUUUCAACAACGGAUCUCUUGGUUCUGGCAUCGAUGAAGAACGCAGCGAAAUGCGAUAAGUAAUGCGAAUUGCAGAAUUCCAGUGAGUCAUCGAAUCUUUGAACGCACAUUGCGCCCUUUGGUAUUCCGAAGGGCAUGCCUGUUCGAGCGUCAUUAUCACCCCUCAAGCCCCCUGGCUUGGUGUUGGACGGUUUGGUGGAGGCCCUUCGCGGGCGUCUACCCCUCCCAAAGACAAUGACGGCGGCCUCGUUGGACCCCCGGUACACUGAGUUCUUCACGGGACACGUAUCGGAUACAUGGGUUUGCGGGACACGGUCUACCUCCCUUUAGGGAGAAUCUUUCUAAGGUUGACC